AUUAUGGCUCAGGAUGAACGCUGGCGGUAUGCCUAACGCAUGCAAGUCGUACGAGAGUUUUUAACUCAAGUGGCGGACGGGUGAGUAACACGUGAGAAUUUGCCUUUAGGAGGGGGAUAACAGAGUGAAAACGCUGCUAAUACCCCAUAUGCUUUCGAGUGAAAUGGAUUUAUUCGCCUAAAGAGAAGCUCGCGGCUGAUUAGCUUGUUGGUAAGGUAAUGGCUUACCAAGGCGACGAUCAGUAUCUGGUUUGAGAGGACGAUCAGACACACUGGAACUGAGACACGGUCCAGACUCCUACGGGAGGCAGCAGUGGGGAAUUUUCCGCAAUGGGCGAAAGCCUGACGGAGCAAUACCGCGUGAGGGAAGACGGCCUAUGGGUUGUAAACCUCUUUUCUCAGGGAGGAACUCAAUGACGU
rnacentral:rRNA from 1 species